AAGUCGUAACAAGGUUUCCGUAGGUGAACCUGCGGAAGGAUCAUUAACACGUAUCCACGUAUCAACCCCUUUGUGCUUUUUUACGUUUUGACGUACCCUGUCUUGAAGGUGAACCCUGAGAUCUUGUGAGAAAUCUGAAUGGUGUCGGGUCUCUUGUGCUUCGGCACGGGACUCUUCCGUUUUCACAGGAUUGUUGCAACCCUUUAUUGGGAGGCAUCGGGCUCCUUUCUAUCGUACAGGUCUUUUUCGAUGCUUACCAUUCGACGUCGACCUUUUAAACUUUAAACCCUUUGAAAACAUCUUGCUAAUUAUAAUUUUGGAUGGUGUAGUCGUUCUUGAUCAAGGCUUCGGCCUUUUUCGGACUUCUUAUCUAUGCAAAUAUUACGAAAUGCUUGACAACUCUUAGCAACGGAUAUCUUGGUUCUC
rnacentral:misc_RNA from 1 species